rnacentral:rRNA from 1 species
UACAGAGACUGCAAGCGUUAUUCGGAUUCACUGGGCGUAAAGGGUGCGCAGGCGGUUGGGUGUGUCAGAUGUGAAAUCCCGAGGCUUAACCUCGGAACUGCGUCUGAAACUACUCGACUAGAGUAUUGGAGAGGGUAACGGAAUUCACGGUGUAGCAGUGAAAUGCGUAGAUAUCGUGAGGAACACCAGAGGCGAAGGCGGUUACCUGGACAAUUACUGACGCUCAGGCACGAAAGCGUGGGGAGCAAAAGGG